CAUAAAGAUAUAUUUCUAGUUUGUAUAUAAAGCCCCACUGGUAGUACAAUGUAAUACAAUUGAGGUUUUGAUUACAGUUUCUGUAAAGUGUGAUGAGUGAGUCAUUUGCUGUAAUAGAACCCUGUUACAAACAAAUUGUACACGACCGAUUCUGUCUCAUGUUAAGCAGUCAAUCACAGAAGCCAACAAAAGUUCUGAGAUGGAACAAAUUAAACAGUGGAUCCACUUUGAGACAAACAUUGACUGUUAGUAUGUGUCUCUAUCAUAUGAUGCCAUAUGUGUCUACUGUUCAUUGCACAGGAUCAUGCUUAAAUUCCCUGGAGUAGG